AACGAACGCUGGCGGCAUGCCUAACACAUGCAAGUCGAACGAGACCUUCGGGUCUAGUGGCGCACGGGUUCGUCACGCGUGGGAACCUUCCCUUAUGUUCGGCAUAACUCCCCGAAAGGGGUGCUAAUACCGGAUAAUAUCUUCGAACCGAAGAUUUAUCGCCUUUGGUUGGGCCCGCGUUGGAUUAGCUCGUUGGGAGGGUAAAAGCCUAUCACGGCGACGAUCCGUAGAUGGUCAGAGAGGAAGAUCAGCGACACUGGGACUCAGACGCGGCCGAGACUCCUACGGGAGGGAGCAGAGGGGAAUAGUGGAACAUGGGGGAAGGGAUGAUGGAGCAAGGCCGGGUGAGUGAUGAAGGCCGUAGGGUUGUAAAGCUCUUUUACCCGGGAUGAUAAUGACAGUACCGGGAGAAUAAGCUCCGGCUAACUCCGUG
rnacentral:rRNA from 1 species